GCUGGCGGCGUGCCUAAUACAUGCAAGUCGAACGAGUUCUCGUUGAUGAUCGGUGCUUGCACCGAGAUUCAACAUGGAACGAGUGGCGGACGGGUGAGUAACACGUGGGUAACCUGCCCUUAAGUGGGGGAUAACAUUUGGAAACAGAUGCUAAUACCGCAUAGAUCCAAGAACCGCAUGGUUCUUGGCUGAAAGAUGGCGUAAGCUAUCGCUUUUGGAUGGACCCGCGGCGUAUUAGCUAGUUGGUGAGGUAAUGGCUCACCAAGGCGAUGAUACGUAGCCGAACUGAGAGGUUGAUCGGCCACAUUGGGACUGAGACACGGCCCAAACUCCUACGGGAGGCAGCAGUAGGGAAUCUUCCACAAUGGACGCAAGUCUGAUGGAGCAACGCCGCGUGAGUGAAGAAGGCUUUCGGGUCGUAAAACUCUGUUGUUGGAGAAGAAUGGUCGGCAGAGUAACUGUUGUCGGCGUGACGGUAUCCAACCAGAAAGCCACGGCUAACUACGUGCCAGCAGCCGCGGUAAUACGUAGGUGGCAAGCGUUAUCCGGAUUUAUUGGGCGUAAAGCGAGCGCAGGCGGUUUUUUAAGUCUGAUGUGAAAGCCCUCGGCUUAACCGAGGAAGCGCAUCGGAAACUGGGAAACUUGAGUGCAGAAGAGGACAGUGGAACUCCAUGUGUAGCGGUGAAAUGCGUAGAUAUAUGGAAGAACACCAGUGGCGAAGGCGGCUGUCUGGUCUGUAACUGACGCUGAGGCUCGAAAGCAUGGGUAGCGAACAGGAUUAGAUACCCUGGUAGUCCAUGCCGUAAACGAUGAAUGCUAGGUGUUGGAGGGUUUCCGCCCUUCAGUGCCGCAGCUAACGCAUUAAGCAUUCCGCCUGGGGAGUACGACCGCAAGGUUGAAACUCAAAGGAAUUGACGGGGGCCCGCACAAGCGGUGGAGCAUGUGGUUUAAUUCGAAGCAACGCGAAGAACCUUACCAGGUCUUGACAUCUUUUGAUCACCUGAGAGAUCAGGUUUCCCCUUCGGGGGCAAAAUGACAGGUGGUGCAUGGUUGUCGUCAGCUCGUGUCGUGAGAUGUUGGGUUAAGUCCCGCAACGAGCGCAACCCUUAUGACUAGUUGCCAGCAUUUAGUUGGGCACUCUAGUAAGACUGCCGGUGACAAACCGGAGGAAGGUGGGGAUGACGUCAAAUCAUCAUGCCCCUUAUGACCUGGGCUACACACGUGCUACAAUGGAUGGUACAACGAGUUGCGAGACCGCGAGGUCAAGCUAAUCUCUUAAAGCCAUUCUCAGUUCGGACUGUAGGCUGCAACUCGCCUACACGAAGUCGGAAUCGCUAGUAAUCGCGGAUCAGCACGCCGCGGUGAAUACGUUCCCGGGCCUUGUACACACCGCCCGUCACACCAUGAGAGUUUGUAACACCCGAAGCCGGUGGCGUAACCCUUUUAGGGAGCGAGCCGUCUAAGG
rnacentral:rRNA from 2 species